rnacentral:rRNA from 1 species
AGUGAACGCUGGCGGUAGGCCUAACACAUGCAAGUCGAACGUCAGCACAGUAAGAGCUUGCUCUUACGGGUGGCGAGUGGCGGACGGGUGAGGAAUACAUCGGAAUCUACUUUUUCGUGGGGGAUAACGUAGGGAAACUUACGCUAAUACCGCAUACGACCUACGGGUGAAAGCAGGGGAUCUUCGGACCUUGCGCGAUUGAAUGAGCCGAUGUCGGAUUAGCUAGUUGGCGGGGUAAAGGCCCACCAAGGCGACGAUCCGUAGCUGGUCUGAGAGGAGGAUCAGCCACACUGGAACUGAGACACGGUCCAGACUCCUACGGGAGGAAGCAGUGGGGAAUAUUGGACAAUGGGCGCAAGCCUGAUCCAGCCAUACCGCGUGGGUGAAGAAGGCCUUCGGGUUGUAAAGCCCUUUUGUUGGGAAAGAAAAGCAGCAGGUUAAUACCCCGCUGUUCUGACGGUACCCAAAGAAUAAGCACCGGCUAACUUCGUG